UGGACUUGAACCACACGUCCCCAAGGUGU
rnacentral:piRNA from 1 species